rnacentral:tRNA from 2 species
GUGGCUGUAGCUCAGCUGGUUAGAGCGCCGGCUUGUGGUGCCGGAGGCCGCGGGUUCGAAUCCCGUCAGCCACCCCA